rnacentral:pre_miRNA from 1 species
AUAGUACUCCCUCCGUUCGGAAUUACUCGUCCAAGAAAUGAAUGUAUCUAGAUGUAUUUUAGUUGUAGACACAUCCAUUUUUGUGACAAGUAAUUCCGAACGGAGGGAGUAGGAU